CAACGAAUAUUCACAAAAUAUCCUCAUAGUAAUCAAUAAAAAAUUAAUUUUAGAUGUAAGAGCAUCAGAUGGUGCAGGGAUUAGGUGUUGGUCUGAUCUCAAAAUAUUCUCUCCUCCUCAAACUCUCCUUCAAAACCUCUCUGAAUCUAAUUGUUUCUCUUUGAUGGAUGUUAAUGGUCUUGUUUGUUUUUGGUGAAAAGCUUUUCUCUUCCCUGUCGACCGUGAGUUGUUAAGGCUGUGCAUGUUUCAUCUCUAAGAGACUCUGGAAAGUUUCCAAGGUUUUUCUUUCUUUACUUCCACUUCCACUUCCACUUAAAUUCUAUUAUUUUUCUUCACUGUCGACUGAUCUCAACUUACUGUCUUCAGUUUUAUUAUAAAUCUCUGUGUUCCACUGUUGCUUACCAGAAAAAAAAAAAAAAAAAAAAUCCCUGUAUUCUCUUUUGAUUUUAGGAAACUUUGUGAUCUUCUCCUCUGCAACUCUAUUUUAUUAACUCUGUGUUGAACAAUUACCAAAUCAGUAUUCUCUGCAUUCUGUUUUCAUUUUACUAGGCUCACUUUCAUCUUUGCAAUUUCUGUUUUACGACACAAGUUCUCUUUGUCCAAUUAUAUUGUAAUUCUCUAUAUUCAACCUAGCUUGUCAAAACGAAAAAAAAAAUCUUUAGAUCCCCUCUUGCAAAGUGUUCCUUUGAUAUCUUCAUAUCCUCUACAAAAUUGUAUUUCUCUUUGUUCAACUGUUACUUACCAGGAUAAAGAAAUCUCUGUAUAUCUUCUUUUGUUUUAGAAAUCUUUGUAAUCUCUUCCUCUGCCACUCUAUUUUAACUUUGUGUUCAACAAUUACCAUUCUGUUUUCAGUAGUUGUUUGUUUUCUUCUAGUUUUACAUAUUGCAUUGCAGAAAAAGGGACGGAAAGAAGAAGAAGAAGAAAAGAAACAGAGAGAGAGGUACAUAACUGAAAUAGAAUUGAGAAAUGGCUACUGGUUGGGUUGGUUUUGUUGGUCCGAUUGUAGGCAAGAUUGGAGAAUUUCUAAUGGCUCCAGUUGGCCGUCAUUUUGGUUAUCUAUUUUCCUAUAAAAGCGAGGUCAAGAAUCUGAAAGAAGAAGUCGAGAAGUUGGAUGAGAAAAGAGGUGCAAUGCAGCUAUCAGUCGAUGAAGCAGAAAGAAAUGUAAAAGUUAUUGGACCUGAUGUUAAGGGGUGGCUGGAAAGGGUUGAUAAAUGCAGCGAAGAGGCCAGAGAAAUUCUAAAAGAUGAAGUUGAAGCAAACAAAGGGUGUCUAUAUGGGUGGUGUCCAAACCUGAAGUUACGUUACUCGCUCGGUAAGAAAGCAACCAACAAGGCAAAAGAGGUGGCUAAGUUGCACGAAGAGAGGAAACUGACAGAAGUGGCCUACAAGGAGCCUCCACCAGGGAUAGAAUCCACAUCCACUGAAGGUAUUAAGGUUUUUGAAUCUAGAAGAUUGAUUAUGAACGAUGUCAUGGGGGCACUGAAGUAUGAUGGAUUCCACAUGAUUGCCAUAUGUGGGAUGGGAGGUGUUGGUAAGACAACAAUGGUGAAAGAAGUUGCCAAAAGAGCAAAAGAAGAGAAAUUGUUCGAUGACGUUGUGAUGGCUGUAGUGUCCCAAAGUCCUAAUGAAAGGAAGAUUCAAGGUGAAAUUGGAGAUAAAUUGGGUUUGGAAUAUGGGGAGGAGACUGAACGUGGAAGAGCAAAUCGACUGCGUGAAAGACUAAGGCGCACCAAGAGAAUCCUUGUCAUAUUGGACGAUGUUUGGGAGCGUCUCGAACUGAAUGACAUAGGAAUUCCAUUUGGAUAUGAUCAUAGAGGUUGCAAAAUUUUGCUAACUUCUAGAUUUGAUAAUGUAUGCAAUGAUAUGGAUGCUCAAAAGAAAUUUACAGUUGAAGUCUUAACUGAAGAAGAAGCAUGGAAUCUCUUUGAGGAGAUGGCUGGAAUUUCCAAUGACACAAGUCACACAAGUACUGAUUUGUAUAUCACACAGAAGAAAGUUGCAGAUGAAUGCGGAUGUUUGCCGAUUGCUAUUGUUACAGUUGCGAGGGCACUCAAAGAUAAAGAUAGGCAUUCAUGGAAUUCAGCCCUUCUACAGUUACGCAAGUCCAUGGUAAAAAACAUCAGGGGAGUAGAAGAAAAGGUGUUCAAAUCUCUGGAGUUGAGUUACAACUUCUUAGGAAGUAGAGAAAUUAAGGAAUGCUUUUUGCUUUGCUCCUUAUAUGCAGAAGAUUUUAAUAUUCCAAUUGAAGAUCUUGUUAGAUAUGGAGUUGGGAUAGAGUUGUUUGAGGCCAUUGAUAGCGUCAAGGAAGCAAGAGACAGAGUACAUGCCUUUGUCGAUGAGUUAAAAAAAAGCUAUCUCUUGAUGGAUGGUGAAGGAGGAGGUUGUGUUAAAAUGCAUGAUGUAGUUCGUGAUGUUACUAUAUCAAUAGCAUCUAGGGAGGAGCAUUCAUUUAUGGUAAGAUGUGACGAAACAUUGAAAGAAUGGCCGGAGAAAGAACGACACAAAAAUCACGCUGUAAUUUCAUUGCGAUGCACUGGUAUGAGCCAGCUGCCUGAUAAUCUAGAAUUUCCAAGACUCCAUCUUUUGCGGCUGGAGGGCAGUUAUGCAUCAAAACUUCCUGAUAGUUUCUACGGAGGGAUGAAGGAACUCAAAGCUUUAAGCAUGUUGAAUGUGUACUUACAAGGAUCAUUGCUGACAUCCCUGCGAUGGUUGACCAACCUCCGAAGCUUGUCACUAUACGAAUGCAGACUGAUCAAUGAUGUAUCUGUAAUAGGAGCAUUAGAGAAUCUAGAAAUUUUGAGUUUGGAACGCACCAAAAUCGAGGAGUUGCCAAAAGAAAUAGGUCGGCUUAGUCACUUGAAGCUACUGGAUUUGUUGCGAUGUGGUGUGAAGAGGAUUUGCCCAGGUGUUUUGUCGAGCUUAUCAAAGCUAGAAGAGUUGUAUCUUGGGUCUAGCUUUAAUGAUGAAAACAGGAUAGAAGAAGCUAAAGCGACUUUGACUGAGCUGUGUGGGUUGUCAAAUUUUACAACUUUGGUCAUUCACCUACGACAUUUUGCAUACUGGCCAAGAGACUUGGUCCUUACGAAUCUAAGAGCAUUCGCUAUAACCAUUAGCCCUAUGAUCAGUACUAGAGAUUGUCGUGAUUAUCAGUUACAAAACCAGUUGAGUCUCGAGGAUCUUCACGAGAGCGAUAUUAUGGAGAGUGAGUUCAAGAAACUUCUCAAGAUCACUAAAAUUUUAGAAAUAACACGAGCAGUAGGUGUGAAGAAUGUUGGCUAUGAUUUAGACAAAGAUGGUUUCAAAAAAUUAAUAGAAUUGUCCUUGGACGAUUGUCAGGAUCUGGAAUAUGUCAUUGACACAACAGAUGGGGUUCCAGUUCCACAAAUAGCCUUCCCUGUGUUGCAGUCGCUAUAUCUCAAUAAUUUAGAUAAAUUGAAAGAGAUUUGUCAUGGCCAUUUGUGGAAGGGUCCUACUCAACUUGUACGGCUCCGCAACCUGACUUCUCUAGGACUGAAGAGAUGUCAUAAACUGGAAAGCAUGUUCUCAUUAUCCAUAGCCAGAGAUCUGAUGCAACUCCAGAAACUUCAUGUAUCUGAAUGUCGUAAGAUGGAAGUACUUAUUUCGAGUGAAGAAGGAGAUCAAAAUGAGAUAGCAUCAACAACAACAGAAACAACAGAUAAAAUUGUGUUUCCUAAACUAAAGGUUUUGUAUCUUCGAGACCUGGCAAGUUUUACUGCUCUCUGUAAGGCUGUGAAUGGAAUUGAGCUGCUGCAAUUGAACGAGCUGACACUCAGCCAGAUGCCAAAGCUCAAUAGUUUUUGCAAUACUUCGGAUAGCAAUUACGAUACUAUUCAACCUCUCUUCAAUAAGGUGGCCUUCAGUGCAUUGAAAAGGCUAGAACUACGGGACUUGCCAGCAGUGACACAUUUGUGGAAGGGUCCUACUCAACUUGUAUGGCUCCGCAACCUCACUUCUCUAGAACUGAAGAGAUGUGAUAAACUGAAAAGCAUGUUCUCAUUAUCCAUAGCCAGAGAUCUGAUGCAACUACAGAUACUUAAUGUAUCUGAUUGUCGUAAGAUGGAAGUACUUAUUUCAAGUGAAGAAGAAGGUGAUCAAAAUGAGAUAGCAUCAACAACAACAGAAACAACAGAUAAAAUUGUGCUUCCUAAACUAAUGGAAUUGUGUCUUGGAGUCUUGCCAAGUUUUACUGCUAUCUGCAAGGCUAUGAAUGGAAUUGAGCUGUUGCAAUUGAACAUGCUGACACUCAGGCUGAUGCCAAAGCUCAAUAGUUUUUGCAAUACUUCAGAUAGCAAUUACGAAACUAUUCAACCUCUCUUCAAUAAGGUGGCCUUCAGUGCGUUGAAAAGUCUAGAACUACGGGACUUGCCUGCAGUGACACAUUUGUGGAAGGGUCCUACGCAACUUGUACGGCUCCGCAACCUCACUUCUCUAAUAUUGACUAAUUGUGAUGAACUGGAAAGCUUGUUCUCAUUAUCCAUAGCUAGAGAUCUGAUGCCACUACAGAAACUUUAUGUAUCUAAUUGUCGUAAGAUGGAAGUACUUAUUUCGAGUGAAGAAGAAGGAGAUCAAAAUGAGAUAGCAUCAACAACAACAGAAACAACAGAUAAAAUUGUGUUCCCUAAACUAAAGGAAUUGUAUCUUGCAUGCCUGCCAAGUUUUACUGCUCUGUGCAAGGCUAUGAAUGGAAUUGAGCUGCUGCAAUUGAACAAGCUGAAACUCUGGGGGAUACCAAAGCUCAAUAGUUUUUGCAAUACUUCGGAUAGCAGUUACCAUACUAUUCAACCUCUCUUCAAUGAGGGGGCCUUUAGUGCAUUGGAAAGGCUAGAACUACGGGACUUGCCUGCAGUGACACAUUUGUGGAAGGGUCCUACUCAACUUGUACAGCUCCGCAACCUCACUUCUCUAGAACUGAAGAGAUGUGAUAAACAAGAAAGCAUGUUCUCAUUAUCCAUAGCCAGAGAUCUGAUUCAACUACAAACACUUAAUGUAUCUGAUUGUCUUAAGAUGGAAGUACUUAUUUUGAGUGACGAAGAAGGAGAUCAAAAUGAGAUAGCAUCAACAACAAUAGAAACAACAGAUAAAAUUGUGUUUCCUAAACUAAAGGAAUUGUAUCUUGGAGGCCUGCCAAGUUUUACUGCUAUCUGCAAGGCUAUGAAUGGAAUUGAGCUGCUGCAAUUGGACGUGCUGACACUCAGGUUGAUGCCAAAGCUCAAUAGUUUUUGCAAUACUUCGGAUAGCAAUUACCAUACUAUUCAACCUCUCUUCAAUAAGGUGGCCUUCAGUGCAUUGAAAAGGCUAGAACUACGGGACUUGCCUGCAGUGACACAUUUGUGGAAGGGUCCUACUCAACUUGUACAGCUCCGCAACCUCACUUCUCUAGAACUGAAGAGAUGUGAUAAACUGGAAAGCAUGUUCUCAUUAUCCAUAGCCAGAGAUCUGAUGCAACUACAGAUACUUAAUGUAUCUGAUUGUCGUAAGGAGGAAGUACUUAUUUCGAGUGAAGAAGACGGAGAUCAAAAUGAGAUAGCAUCAAUAACAACAGAAACAAUAGAUGAAAUUGUGCUUCCUAAACUAAUGGAAUUAUGUCUUGGAGGCCUGCCAAGUUUUAUUGCUAUCUGUAAGGAAAUAAAUGAAAUUGAGCUACUGCAAUUGAACAAGCUGUAUCUCUGGGGGAUACCAAAGCUCAAUAGUUUUUGCAAUACUUCGGAUAGAAAUUACAAUACUAUUCAACCUCUCUUCAAUAAGGUUAAAUUAAUUACCAUUGAGAAAUUGGCGAUCGUUGGAAUGGAUAACGUGAUAGAGAUAUGGCCUAGGGAACUUCAACUUAAAGUGGGCAACAUGAUUAUUUGGCAGUGUCGUAAGCUAUCGCAUAUUCUUUUUCCAUCCAAUGUGAUUGAGGGCAUGCAGAGUGUUGAACGACUUAUGGUGGGGUGGUGUCAAUCUGUGGAAGUAGCAUUUGAUCUUGAAGGAAUAAUUGUUAGGGAAGGCUAUCUAGAUAUCGUACUCCCUUCAUUAACAAAAUUGGUCCUACUUUAUCUACCAAAGUUGACACAUGUUUGGAAGAACAACUUACUAAGAAUUCCAAGCUUUCAGAACCUGACAUCAUUGACAGUAGUGGGUUGUAGCAGCUUGAGAUAUAUAUUCUCAUCUUCUCAUGCCAGACUUCUUGGGAAACUACAAGAAAUAACUGUGACUGAAUGUGGUGUGUUGGAAGCGAUUGUUAAUGAGGAACCAAAAGUAGAUGAUGAAGUCGUAACAAAUAUAAUCAUGUUCCCUCGACUAAAUAGUCUCAAACUCUGUCAUCUGCCAAACCUCAAGAGUUUAUGUCCCCAAGCUUACACAUUUGAAGGAUCGUUCUUCAAGAAGAUAAAAGUAAUCAACUGUCCCAACAUGAGGGCAUUUCCUUCAGCAUUGCAACGCAUGCUAGAGCUACAAGAGAGCAAUGUUCGAGAAGUGGAAUUUUUUAACUCAGCUCAACACCAUCUCUCGGAUAGAAAGUUUAGUUUAAGCACCAAGGGCAUACUUGAUGUCACAGGAAUAGAUGAGCCAACUGAGAUAUGGCACAACCAACUUGAAGUCGGAUGCCUUGACAAAGUAAGAUUCAUGCGGGUCCAGUGUUGUGAAAAAUUAUCAAGUGUUGUCUCAUCCAAGUUAAUGCAAAGGCUGCACAAUAUACAAGGGCUAAAAGUAUGGUGGUGUGAUUCACUGGAAAUGAUAUUUGAUCUCCAAGAGGGUGUAUGUGCUGAUGUUGCUGAGAAAGAAACAUUAAUCACUCAGUUAAGCGAAUUGAAAUUGAAGUAUUUGCCCAAGUUGACGCACAUAUGGAAGAAUAUUUCCCAACAAACUCAUUGUUUCGAAAAUCUAAGAUUUCUGGCAGUGGAGCACUGUGACAACCUGAGAUAUAUAUUCACAAUUUCCAUGGCCAACGUCCUUGUGAAUCUAGAAGAUCUAACAGUUGAACAUUGCGAGAAGGUAGAUAAGAUUGUCACCAGGGAAAACGAAGAAGAAAUCUUUUCGCGAGAAAUUAACUUUGUCAACCUUUCAAAUCUUCCAAGUCUCGUGUGUUUUGGCCCGGAUGUAAAUAAUACUAAAAUUCCAGCAAGAACAUCCGAUGUAAGCUUCUGCCCCAAAUUUCCAGGCAAUGAGGAUGGAGUUGACUCUGAGGAUCUUGAGUUUCACAUUGCCUUUUCACCUUCGCUCUGACAACUUUGACGACGAUGACAAUUAACAAUGUUGUCAGGUACUAUUCCCUUCCAGCUAGCGCCUGGAGAAUUGGCUGCGCUGAGAAUCAGAGGUACCAUUUCCUUCCAGCUAGCACCUAGAGAAUUGGCUAUGUGUGCUGCACUAAGAAUCAAAGGUACCAUUUCCUUACAGCUAGCGCAUGGAAAAUUAGCAGAGGUGAAUAUCGAGAUGUGCUACAAGAUCGUGGAUCUUUCUUAAUUGUUGGUCACGGGACCUUUUUAUGUAUAGGCGGUAUGCCAUUAAUGUAAAAGGGUUAAACCCUUCCUCUUAAUUUAAAUGAUGUAAGCCUGCGGGCACUUUAUUUAGUU